rnacentral:rRNA from 1 species
UACGUAGGCAGCAAGCGUUGUUCGGAGUUACUGGGCGUAAAGGGUGUGUAGGCGGUUGGGUAAGUGUGGUGUGAAAUCUCCCGGCUCAACUGGGAGGGUGCGCUACAAACUGUCUGACUAGAGUGUGGGAUGGGAAAGUGGAAUUCCUGGUGUAGCGGUGAAAUGCGUAGAUAUCAGGAGGAACACCGGUGGUGUAGACGGCUUUCUGGACCAUAACUGACGCUGAGACACGAAAGCGUGGGUAGCAAACAGG